GGGAUUUAUGACCUGUACUGCAGCCCACCAUCAGAGGGUGCUGUUCUCGGAGUGGCUUCACCCAGCGAGGCGGCAGACUCUGUCCAUCUAAUAUACAGUCUAUGGUCCAACACCACAGUCAUCCUUCACUUCUUAUGCUCCUUACCUCGAUGAGAAUACCUCCACCGAGUCUGGCUAACUAGCUGCUGUUUGUAAGCUUGGUCUUGAUAGUUGCUACUGCUGGUUCAAAGUUAUCACAAGUGUCCCUGUUGGUGUUAGCCGCUGGAUACCCACAGAGUACUAACUUCAUUCACUUCAGUUUUUGUGUCUCAGAGCCCAGGAAAGUGAAGAGGAAGUCUUUUGUUUGGCCAUGUCUUCAGGAAAGCAUAGACUGAGCCUGAGUCGUGUGAGUCCUGUCACCAGCUUCAGAGCUCAACCCUGGAAAGGUGGGUCAAGCUUGUGGAAAGAGAGCGUUAGGGAAUACCACUAUUACACUGCAUGACCCCCUCCUCUCUGAGUCCAGGCAACCGGCUUUGUCCGAGUCCGGUGGCAAAACUUCAUGGUCAAAGGCUUAGUUGGAAGGUAGGCAGACCAUAUGGAGUGUGCUGAUGGGUCAGCUGGAUUUGAGCCGGGCCCUCUGAGGGCGCUGGCCAGCUGCUCUCUGGGCUAGCCUGUUACCAGGAGGAGGAUGACGUGCUGGACAUCAGCCUGGAUGUGCAGAGUUUUUCGGAGGAUGUGCAGGAGCUACUGUCUCCAGGUACACCGCCACUGCUGGGCCGGUUGACCUAGACAACACAUCCUUCUUUUCACUGUACCGCCGUGCAGCUGGGUUUUAUCUUCCACUUGGGCUGAAGACUGUUAAGAACAGCCUUCCCAUGUUCCCGGAUUUUGUCAUGGACCUAGCAUCGACAUGGAACAAGCUGCUGUCCACCCGUGCCACAGUGGACAGUUUUUGGACCUGGAUGGAGCUGAAAAAGCUGGUUUGGUUAACCCUCUGCCUAUGGAGGUGUCCCUGGCAGCCUAUCUGGCCUGGAACUGAACUAUGAUGUUGGUGGCCCAAUCACACUCCUGUCCAAGCACUGCAGGUUCUCCGCGUCAAAGCUGGAGAAGAUAUACAGGACUCAGGGAAGUACGUCUUGUGCACUGAGGUCCGUCACCAUGCUUCAGACAUGCUAUCCCAUCUCCUUAACGAGGUUAGUGACACCACGGAUUAAAUCCCCUGAGUGUUCCGCUGUGCAGUGCUCUCUCUGGGUAGAGGCACGGCUUUCCGGCACUGCAUCAGCUACCCUUUUGGCUCUGAAGCAUUUUAAUCCCGUUCUGACAGGCUAUCAAGUUCUGAUCAGGACUGAUGACACGACUGUGGUUUCCUACAUAAACAAGCAGGGAGGGACACGCUCUCUUCCCCUGUUAAAACUGUCUCACUCUCUUUUGCUAUGGUGCAGUGCUCAUUUUCUGUUUCUCAGAGCCACACAUAUUCCAGGUCACUUAAACCUUGGGCUGGAUCUUCUCUCCAGGGGAGGGCCUCUUGUGAGACAGUGGAGAUUGCACUCACUAGUGGUGGCUCCGAUGUGGGACCGCUUCGGCAGGGCAGAAGUAGAUCUUUUUACCUCCAGAGCAAACACCCAUUGCCCCCUGUUCUUUUCCAUAUCAGACUGCAAUGCUCCCUUGGAAAUGGAUGCAUUAGCUCACACAUGGCCUAACAUGGUGCUAUAUGCAUUUUCCCCAGUGGAAAUGAAUGUCUGUUCUGGAGAGGGUGUGCCAGCAGGGGCUCUCCCUGAUUCUGGGUUCCCUGAGAUGAUCAGUCUGCUGGCAGCAAGACCCUGGAAGCUCCCUCUUUGAAGGGACCUCCUCUCCCAGGUGGGAGGAGAGGUGAUUCACCUGCGCCCAGAACUGUAGUGACUACAUGCCUAUCUGUUGAGAGGUCCAACCUAAUCGCUCAGGGUCUGACCCCAACUGUGGUGGCAACAAUCCAGACUGCAAGGAUAUCAUUUACUAGGGGCCUAUUUGCCUUCAAAUGGUGGAUGUUUGAGCAGUGGUGUCAGGACCGAACUGUACCCCCAUUCUAGUGUUCUGUUGUGGAUGUUUUAACAUUUCUUCAGGAGCUGCUGGAUAAGAGUCUCUCUUUCUAAACAAUUAAGGUCUAUUUGGCGGCUAUAUCUGCAUGCCAUGUUGGCUUUGAUGGUUUGACGCCAGGCCUCUUGCUAUGGGCUUCCUAAAGGAAGUCAGCAGGCUUGAACCUGUGGUUAAACCCAGCAUUCCCUCAUGGGGUUUGCCGCUGGUGCUUGAGGCUCUUGGUGGACCCCCAUUUGAGCCUAAUGAGUCCACAGACAUGAAAUUACUUUCAUGCAAGACAGCGCUGCCACUGCUACUCUGACAUCUGCAAAGCAAGUGGGCGACCUUCAUGCAUUGUCUGUACAUCCCCCUUGUAUCCAGUUCACUCUGGAUGGAGCUAAGGUAACAUUGCGCCCAAAUGCGGCAUAAUUGCCUAAAAUUAUCCCCACAGUCUAUAGUUCUAUCAGUUUUUCUCUUUUAAGCUUUUGUCCCCUCUAUUUACAUCUGACAAGCAGAGGAGGUUGCAUCCUUUGUGCCCUGUGCGUGCACUACGCAAUUACAUAGACCGCACUCAGAGUGUGCGCUUAUGUGACCAGUUGUUUGUCUGUUUUGCUAAUCCAGCCAAGGGCAAGGCGCUGUCUAAACAGCAGCUUUCCCACUGGAUUGUGGAGGCUAUCUACCUAGCAUACAGCAGUAGGGGUCUUCCGUUGCCCCAAGGUGUGAGGGCACAUUCAGCCAGGGGCAUGGCGGCCUUAUGGGCCUUGUUUAAAGGGGUUUCUCUGAGAGAUAUCUGCACUGCAGCCAGUUGGUCAUCACUGCAAACUUUUGUUUGGUUUUAUUGUUUGGAUGUGACAGCCCCUUCAGUGGCUUACUCUGUCCUUUCUGCUGGGUCUGCGAUGCACCAAAGUUUUGGAGGUUUGACUCCGGUUCGGUGGCUGCUCUGCGAGGUGUGUAUGUAUGUCCCAUACUAUAUGUCAGGGGUCUUCAUAUAAAUUUUCAGUGGGUCCACCUGAAUGAAAUGCCUGCAGGCCUGGGUCCAGGGAUUUUUAUUUAUUUAUUUUUUUACAGUGCAUUACUCUUUUGAAAUAUUCACUUCAUUUGUAUUGCCAAUAACUGCCUACUUUCAAUUGGCUGUGUGCUUCCUGCGGGUAAAAUGAAUGCAAACGACUCUGUCCACUCGCCAUAAAACACCCUGUUCUCAUUCUCUACCUUUCGUGGUUUUUAAGCCGACAUGUUUAGCUGCUGCUACAACUUUCUCCUCAGUCUGCCGCCUGACAGUUUUCAACAUCGGGAUUGCUCGGUAAUCUUCGUGUGUCGAGUAGGCUAAAAGGUCUGAUUUGAUUGACAAGUCAAGCGAGUAAGCAAGUGAUGUAAUGCCUUGCUGAAAUUGCACGUGCAGUUUACUGAACCAGGCACAAAGCAAGAGAGUAAGGCUGCACGAUAUUGGAAAAAACUAACAUUGCGAUUUUUUUCAACCCUGCGAUAUAUAUUGCGAUAUUAAAAAUAUAGGAAUUUUCACCAGAUGACCUAAAUAGCAUUUAAUGUUAUACUGCACUGCUGAAGUCUUGAGGACAGUUAACCUGCACUGAUCUUACCUCUUUUUGUGGAUGUUAGAAUGGCUUCUGUCUGUCUCAGAGACAUUUUUAGCUUUUAUUGUGCUGGGAGUUAUUGUGGCGACAGAUGAACACAGAACACGUGUUUUGGUCGACAUCAUCCUUCUUUUAACCGAAAUAAUUCCAGAUAAUUGACUUUCCUUUUCUUUUUGGCAACAAAACUUAAUUUUCGGUGGUUUUCUCUUGUUCGUUGCUCAUUUUGCAAUCGUUGUUGUUGUUGUUAGCGGUGUUGUGCCGAGAAACGCAUGUCCUCCGAGAAUUGCAUGCAUCUCGCAAAACGCGCACCGCUUAUAGUAGAGUGGUCCACGGAAAUGUACAAUUUAAAACCCAUACAGUUCUUAUUUGUUGGGCUUAACAGUCAGUAAAGUUCCGAAAGUAAUUCUCAGCGGACACGCGUCUCACUCCAUGUGCAGAACAUGUGCAGGGGUGGGUUUCCUCCUCU